UACGUAGGGUGCGAGCGUUGUUCGGAUUUAUUGGGCGUAAAGAGCUCGUAGGCGGUUUGUCGCGUCUGCUGUGAAAACCUAAGGCUCAACCUUGGGCUUGCAGUGGGUACGGGCAGACUAGAGUGCGGUAGGGGUGACUGGAAUUCCUGGGGUAGCGGUGGAAUGCGCAGAUAUCAGGAGGAACACCGAUGGCGAAGGCAGGUCACUGGGCCGCAACUGACGCUGAGGAGCGAAAGCAUGGGGAGCGAACAGG
rnacentral:rRNA from 1 species